rnacentral:rRNA from 1 species
GACGAACGCUGGCGGCGUGCUUAACACAUGCAAGUCGAACGGAAAGGCCCUGCUUUUGUGGGGUGCUCGAGUGGCGAACGGGUGAGUAACACGUGAGUAACCUGCCCUUGACUUUGGGAUAACUUCAGGAAACUGGGGCUAAUACCGGAUAGGAGCUCCUGCUGCAUGGUGGGGGUUGGAAAGUUUCGGCGGUUGGGGAUGGACUCGCGGCUUAUCAGCUUGUUGGUGGGGUAGUGGCUUACCAAGGCUUUGACGGGUAGCCGGCCUGAGAGGGUGACCGGCCACAUUGGGACUGAGAUACGACCCAGACUCCUACAGGAGGCAGCAGUGCAGAAUAUUACACAAUGGGCGGAAGCCUGAUGCAGCAACGCCGCGUGCGGGAUGACGGCCUUCGGGUUGUAAACCGCUUUCGCCUGUGACGAAGCGUGAGUGACGGUAAUGGGUAAAGAAGCACCGGCUAACUACGUG